UACGAAGGGGGCUAGCGUUGCUCGGAAUCACUGGGCGUAAAGGGUGCGUAGGCGGGUCUUUAAGUCAGGGGUGAAAUCCUGGAGCUCAACUCCAGAACUGCCCUUGAUACUGAAGAUCUUGAGUUCGGGAGAGGUGAGUGGAACUGCGAGUGUAGAGGUGAAAUUCGUAGAUAUUCGCAAGAACACCAGUGGCGAAGGUGGCUCACUGGCCCGAUACUGACGCUGAGGCACGAAAGCGUGGGGAGCAAACAGG
rnacentral:rRNA from 1 species